rnacentral:rRNA from 1 species
GGAAUUUUGGGCAAUGGGCGAAAGCCUGACCCAGCAACGCCGCGUGAAGGAUGAAGUAUUUCGGUAUGUAAACUUCGGAAGAAUGGGAAGAAUAAAUGACGGUACCAUUUAUAAGCUCCGGCUAACUACGUGCCAGCAGCCGCGGUAAUACGGAGGGGGCUAGCGUUGUUCGGAAUUACUGGGCGUAAAGCGCACGUAGGCGGACCGGAAAGUCAGAGGUGAAAUCCCAGGGCUCAACCUUGGAACUGCCUUUGAAACUCCUGGUCUUGAGGUCGAGAGAGGUGAGUGGAAUUCCGAGUGUAGAGGUGAAAUUCGUAGAUAUUCGGAGGAACACCAGUGGCGAAGGCGGCUCACUGGCUCGAUACUGACGCUGAGGUGCGAAAGCGUGGGGAGCAAAC